CAAUGGAGAGUGCUAGUGUGGUGUCACAUGGUGCAACAUGGCUCAGUGUUGUGUGAAACUAAGUGGGGAGAACCAGUUUGGACUUCUGAGGAUCCAAAAGCCCAAGAAAAAAAUCUGAGUUCUCACGACAAAGUCACUUCCUGCUACAACACCUGGAAAAUGUCAUGACCCGAGCUAGUCUCACUUCAGAGUCCCUGGUUUCUAGUACGGUGCCUGACAGAUAGAUGACUUUCUUUAUAUGUUGCUGAAGACAGGCAGAGAGGAAGAAAGGAAGAGAGGAUAAAGGGAGGAAUAAACUUGAUAUAAGCAUCUUUGCAUAAUUAACAACUGGGUCAAAUUUUCUUCAUUUCAUUGAGAUUCUUGAUACAAGCCUCUGCUGAUGAAUUGGAUUCCAAAAAGCAGAUAUUGUUGUCCAGGCCACACCAUACGGGACUUACCACUCCCAGUUGCUAACAUCUGCACGUAUUUGCCUGGAGGUCUCCUCUGGUCACCAGAUCCUACUCUGCCUGGGCCACAUGACAAGGUGAUGUGCUGAGGAACAAAAGCCCCCAGGAGUAUCCCUCAAGCAGUGUUGGACUGGAGUUGAGAAUGGAUCCAGCCUGUCCAGGCCUUUGUGCUUGCUCUUCCCUCUUCCUGAAUAUUCUGACCUGGCUCUGUGUGUGUCUACUUCCUCCUCAUCUCUCAGAUCUCCUUUGCAAAAGGGCUUCCCCAAUGAUUUAAUUUAAUAUCAUCUUUUCAUGUACCCCAAAUGUCAUUCUCUAGCACUGUAUUCUGUUUAUUUCCUUCAUAGAAUCUACAGUAAAUUCUAAUCGUUUCA
ensembl:lncRNA LINC02401 long intergenic non-protein coding RNA 2401